rnacentral:rRNA from 1 species
UGGGGAAUAUUGCACAAUGGGGGAAACCCUGAUGCAGCGACGCCGCGUGAGCGAAGAAGGCUUUCGAGUCGUAAAGCUCUGUCCUAUGAGAAGAUAAUGACGGUAUCAUAGGAGGAAGCUCUGGCUAAAUACGUGCCAGCAGCCGCGGUAAUACGUAUGGGGCGAGCGUUGUCCGGAAUUAUUGGGCGUAAAGGGUACGUAGGUGGUUUUUUAAGUCAGGUGUCAAAGCGUGGAGCUUAACUCCAUUAAGCACUUGAAACUGAAAGACUUGAGUGAAGGAGAGGAAAGUGGAAUUCCUAGUGUAGCGGUGAAAAGCGUAGAUAUUAGGAGGAAUACCGGUGGCGAAGGAGAAUUUCUGGACUUUUACUGACGAUCAGGUACGAAAGCGUGGGGAGCAAAGAGG